UACGGAGGGUGCAAGCGUUAUCCGGAUUUACUGGGUUUAAAGGGUGCGUAGGUGGGUUGGUGAGUCAGUGGUGAAAUACUUUCGCUUAACGAAGGAACUGCCAUUGAUACUACCAGCCUUGAAUACAGUGGAGGUGGGCGGAAUGCGUCAUGUAGCGGUGAAAUGCUUAGAUAUGACGCAGAACACCAAUUGCGAAGGCAGCUUGCUACGCUGUUAUUGACACUGAGGCACGAAAAGCGUGGGGAUCAAACAGG
rnacentral:rRNA from 1 species